rnacentral:rRNA from 1 species
GUCUGCCUCGAUUUUUUU